GACGAACGCUGGCGGCGUGCUUAACACAUGCAAGUCGAACGGUAAGGCCCUUCGGGGUACACGAGUGGCGAACGGGUGAGUAACACGUGGGUGAUCUGCCCUGCACUUCGGGAUAAGCCUGGGAAACUGGGUCUAAUACCGGAUAGGACCACUGCCUGCAUGGGGGGUGGUGGAAAGCUUUUGCGGUGUGGGAUGGGCCCGCGGCCUAUCAGCUUGUUGGUGGGGUGAUGGCCUACCAAGGCGACGACGGGUAGCCGGCCUGAGAGGGUGACCGGCCACACUGGGACUGAGAUACGGCCCAGACUCCUACGGGAGGCAGCAGUGGGGAAUAUUGCACAAUGGGCGCAAGCCUGAUGCAGCGACGCCGCGUGAGGGAUGACGGCCUUCGGGUUGUAAACCUCCUUCAGCACCGACGAAGCGCAAGUGACGGUAGGUGCAGAAGAAGGACCGGCCAACUACGUGCCAGCCGCCGCUGUAA
rnacentral:rRNA from 1 species